rnacentral:rRNA from 1 species
CCUACGGGUGGCAGCAGUGGGGAAUAUUGGGCAAUGGGCGCAAGCCUGACCCAGCAACGCCGCGUGAAGGAAGAAGGCUUUCGGGUUGUAAACUUCUUUUGUCAGGGAAGAGUAGAAGACGGUACCUGACGAAUAAGCCACGGCUAACUACGUGCCAGCAGCCGCGGUAAUACGUAGGUGGCAAGCGUUGUCCGGAUUUACUGGGUGUAAAGGGCGUGUAGCCGGGUUGACAAGUCAGAUGUGAAAUCCUGCGGCUUAACCGCAGAACUGCAUUUGAAACUGUUGAUCUUGAGUACUGGAGAGGCAGACGGAAUUCCUAGUGUAGCGGUGAAAUGCAUAGAUAUCACGCAGAACCCCGAUUGCGAAGGCAGCCUUCCGGCGCCCUACUGACGCUGAGGCACGAAAGUGCGGGGAUCGAACAGGAUUAGAUACCCGUGUAGUC